rnacentral:rRNA from 1 species
GAGGAAAAGAAACUAACUAGGAUUCCCUUAGUAACGGCGAGUGAACCGGGAUGAGCUCAAAUUUGAAAUCUGGCGUCUUUCAGGCGUCCGAGUUGUAAUCUAUAGAGGCGUUUUCCGCGCCGGACCGCGUCCAAGUCUCUUGGAAUAGAGUAUCAAAGAGGGUGACAAUCCCGUACUUGACGCGACAACCGGUGCUCUGUGAUACGUUCUCAAUGAGUCGAGUUGUUUGGGAAUGCAGCUCUAAAUGGGUGGUAAAUUCCAUCUAAGGCUAAAUAUUGGCGAGAGACCGAUAGCGAACAAGUACCGUGAGGGAAAGAUGAAAAGCACUUUGGAAAGAGAGUUAAACAGCACGUGAAAUUGUUAAAAGGGAAACGAUUGAAGUCAGUCGUGUGGGAAGUAUUCAGCCGUCUCUGGCGGUGUAUUUGCUUCUCACGGGUCAACAUCAGUUUGAUCCGGUAGAAAAAGGCGGGAAGAAGGUGGCACCCUCGGGUGUGUUAUAGCUUCCUGUCAUAUGUGCCGGACCAGACUGAGGAACGCAGCUUGCAGCAAUGCCGGGGUUCGCCCACGUACAAGCUUAGGAUGUUGACAUAAUGGCUUUAAACGACCC